rnacentral:rRNA from 1 species
UUUCCGUAGGUGAACCUGCGGAAGGAUCAUCG